UACGGAGGAUGCAAGCGUUAUCCGGAAUGAUUGGGCGUAAAGCGUCCGCAGGUGGCUGUGUAAGUCUGCUGUCAAAGAGCGAAGCUCAACUUCGUAAAGGCAGUGGAAACUACACGGCUAGAGUGCGUUCGGGGCAGAGGGAAUUCCUGGUGUAGCGGUGAAAUGCGUAGAGAUCAGGAAGAACACCGGUGGCGAAGGCGUUCUGCUAGGCCGCAACUGACACUGAGGGACGAAAGCUAGGGGAGCGAAUGGG
rnacentral:rRNA from 1 species